CUCCGAGAACAAUAUCCAGCCUUGUACAACAUUGCUCGCGAUAAGAAUAAUACUAUUGCGCAGGUGCUCAGUUCAUCCCCCCCGAAUAUUUCGUUCAGGCGGGAUUUGACUGGCCCCCGACUUAUGUCAUGGCAUAAUCUUUUGUCCCGUCUGGAUGCGAUUAGCCUGACAGAAGGGUGGGAUGUGUUUCGCUAGAACCUUACUACAUCAGGGUCUUUCACCGUA
rnacentral:rRNA from 1 species